AACAGCGAGGAUGUUGGCUUAGAAGCAGCCAUUCAUUUAAAGAGUGCGUAACAGCUCACUCGUCAAGAGAUUUUGCGUGGAAAAUGUAACGGGGCUAAAGUGUUAUACCGAAGAUAUGGAUUUCGUUAUUCCUACGGGUUUAACGGAGUGGUAGAGGAGCGUUCCUAUCGGCAGUGAAGCUCAAUCGUAAGGUUGGGUGGAGCGUUAGGAAGUGAGAAUGCUGGAAUGAGUAACCAUAAGAAAGGUGAGAAUCCUUUCGGCCGUAAGAGCGAGGUUUCCAGGGCUACUGUAAUAAUCCCUGGGUUAGUCGGGCCUAAGCCGAGGCGUAGCAGCGUAGGCGAUGGACAUCAGGUUAAUAUUCCUGAACCGGUUAUAAUUUGUAUACUGUGUACGGUAAAUUAGUCGAAGCGGAUUAUUGGUAUAUAUCCGUCCAACUUAGCGGGAACGCAAAAGGAGUGAAAGUUAAUCUACGGAUUAACGAUUUUGAUGAAAGUACUGGCUAGAAAAGCAGAUAUACGCGUGGUUAUAGCCGCCCGUACCGCAAACCAACACAGGUGCUCGAGUCGAGUAGACUCAGGCUUACGAGAGACCCUUCGCUAAGGAACUCGGCAAAACAGCGACCGUAACUUCGGGAUAAGGUCUGCCUCCGCAUCAUUCGAUGCGAGUCGUGUUUCAAGCAAUUAGGUUAAGAUUAAUGGUAUAUAUGAGUAUCUUAAACUUCUUUACCGAGAUAGACAAGUCAAAUGGCUUAGCUUGGAACGCGGCAACCUCGUGUCAAACGAUGCGGAGGCCGCAGCAAAAGAGCCCACGGAACUGUUUACCAAAAACACAGGUCUCUGCUAACACGAAAGUGGAUGUAUAGGGGCUGACUCCUGCCCAGUGCUGGAAGGUUAAGGGGAGUGCUUUACGGUGCGAACUGAAGCCCCAGUGAACGGCGGCGGUAACUAUAACCGUCCUAAGGUAGCGAAAUUCCUUGUCAGGUAAGUUCUGACCCGCACGAAUGGAGUAAUCAUGUGGGCACUGUCUCGGCGAAGGACUCGGUGAAAGUGCAUUGGCGGUAAAGAUGCCGUCUGUCCAUGCCAGGACGAGAAGACCCCAUGGAGCUUUACUACAGCUUUACAUUGACACGGGUUACAUCAUGUGUAGCAUAGGUGGGAGGCUUUGAAGCAGAUACGCCAGUAUUUGUGGAGCCACAGGUGAAAUACCACCCUUGAUGUAGUCUUUGUCUUACCAUUGCCGUUAUCCGGUAAUGGGACCGUGUAUGGUGGGUAGUUUAACUGGGGCGGUUGCCUCCUAAAGAGUAGCGGAGGCGUUCAAAGGUUGGCUAGCUUCGGAUGGAAAUCGAAGUGAUAGUGCAUGCGCAAAAGCCAGCUUGACUGCGAGAAUUACAAUUCGACCAGAGUGGAAACACGGAGCAAGUGACCCGCUGUAAGAACAUUGUUCAUUGAAUGUGGGAUCGACAGCGCACACGGAUAAAAGUUACCCUGGGGAUAACAGGCUUAUCGCGCCCAAUAGUUCACAUAGACGGCGCGGUUUGGCACCUCGAUGUCGGCUCAUCACAUCCUGGAGGGGGAGCACCUUCCAAGGGUUCGGCUGUUCGCCGAUUAAAGUGGUACGCGAGCUGGGUUCAG
rnacentral:rRNA from 1 species